rnacentral:rRNA from 1 species
AAGGUGGUGAAGCAAUUGAUGCCCCGCUUCCAGGAAAAGCCUCUAAGCUUCAGGUUACCAACAAUCGUACCCCAAACCGACACAGGUGGUCAGGUAGAGAAUACUCAGGCGCUUGAGAGAACUCGGGUGAAGGAACUAGGCAAAAUGGUGCCGUAACUUCGGGAGAAGGCACGCUGGCGGUAGGUAAAGUCCCUCGCGGACAGAGCUGAAGCCAGUCGAAGAUACCAGCUGGCUGCAACUGUUUAUUAAAAACACAGCACUGUGCAAACACGAAAGUGGACGUAUACGGUGUGACGCCUGCCCGGUGCUGGAAGGUUAAUUGAUGGGGUUAGCGCAAGCGAAGCUCCUGAUCGAAGCCCCAGUAAACGGCGGCCGUAACUAUAACGGUCCUAAGGUAGCGAAAUUCCUUGUCGGGUAAGUUCCGACCUGCACGAAUGGCGUAAUGAUGGCCAGGCUGUCUCCACCCGAGACUCAGUGAAAUUGAACUCGCUGUGAAGAUGCAGUGUACCCGCGGCAAGACGGAAAGACCCCGUGAACCUUUACUAUAGCUUGACACUGAACAUUGAGCCUUGAUGUGUAGGAUAGGUGGGAGGCUUUGAAGUGUGGACGCCAGUCUGCAUGGAGCCAACCUUGAAAUACCACCCUUUAACGUUUGAUGUUCUAACCUAGGCCCGUGAUCCGGGUCGGGGACCGUGUCUGGUGGGUAGUUUGACUGGGGCGGUCUCCUCCUAAAGAGUAACGGAGGAGCACGAAGGUUGGCUAAGCAUGGUCGGACAUCAUGCGGUUAGUGCAAAGGCAUAAGCCAGCUUGACUGCGAGAGUGACGGCUCGAGCAGGUACGAAAGUAGGUCUUAGUGAUCCGGUGGUUCUGAAUGGAAGGGCCAUCGCUCAACGGAUAAAAGGUACUCCGGGGAUAACAGGCUGAUACCGCCCAAGAGUUCAUAUCGACGGCGGUGUUUGGCACCUCGAUGUCGGCUCAUCACAUCCUGGGGCUGAAGUAGGUCCCAAGGGUAUGGCUGUUCGCCAUUUAAAGUGGUACGCGAGCUGGGUUUAGAACGUCGUGAGACAGUUCGGUCCCUAUCUGCCGUGGGCGUUGGAAGAUUGAGAGGGGUUGCUCCUAGUACGAGAGGACCGGAGUGAACGCACCACUGGUGUUCGGGUUGUCAUGCCAAUGGCAUUGCCCGGUAGCUAAGUGCGGAAGAGAUAACCGCUGAAAGCAUCUAAGCGGGAAACUUGCCUCGAGAUGAGUCUUCCCUGUCGCUUAAAGCGACCUAAAGGAACGUUUAAGACGAAGACGUUGAUAGGCUGGGUGUGUAAGCGUAGCGAUACGUUGAGCUAACCAGUACUAAUGAACCGUGAGGCUUAACCUG